rnacentral:rRNA from 1 species
CCUGGCUCAGGAUGAACGCUAGCGGCAGGCUUAACACAUGCAAGUCGAGGGGCAGCGCGGAGUAGCAAUACUCUGGCGGCGACCGGCGAAAGGGUGAGUAACGCGUGAGCAACAUGCCCGUAGGUGGAGGAUAGUCAUUGGAAACGAUGCGUAAUACUCCGUAACAACAGGGACCGCAUGAUCCUUGUUUAAUAGAUUCAUUGCCUACGGAUUGGCUCGCGUACCAUUAGGUAGUUGGUGAGGUAACGGCCCACCAAGCCCACGAUGGUUAGGGGUUCUGAGAGGAAGGUCCCCCACAUUGGAACUGAGACACGGUCCAGACUCCUACGGGAGGCAGCAGUGAGGAAUAUUGGUCAAUGGCCGGAAGGCUGAACCAGCCAUGCCGCGUGCGGGAAGACGGCCCUAUGGGUUGUAAACCGCUUUUGUGUGGGAGCAAUAAGUCUUACGUGUAGGAUGAUGAGAGUACCAUACGAAUAAGCAUCGGCUAACUCCGUGCC